UACGAAGGGGGCUAGCGUUGUUCGGAAUCACUGGGCGUAAAGCGCACGUAGGCGGAUCUUUAAGUCAGGGGUGAAAUCCCGAGGCUCAAUCUCGGAACUGCCUUUGAUACUGGGGAUCUCGAGUCCGGGAGAGGUGAGUGGAACUGCGAGUGUAGAGGUGAAAUUCGUAGAUAUUCGCAAGAACACCAGUGGCGAAGGCGGCUCACUGGCCCGGUACUGACGCUGAGGUGCGAAAGCGUGGGGAGCAAACAGG
rnacentral:rRNA from 1 species